CUAGGGGAGCGAAUGGGAUUAGAUACCCUAAUAGUCCUAGCCGUAAACGAUGUAUACUAGCGUGUGGGGUGUAUGGAAUUCCUGAGCCGUGCCGUAGCUAACGCGUUAAGUAUCCCGCCUGGGGAGUACGCACGCAAGUGUGAAACUCAAAGGAAUUGACGGGGGCCCGCACAAGCGGUGGAGUAUGUGGUUUAAUUCGAUGCAACGCGAAGAACCUUACCAAGACUUGACAUGUCGCGAAUCCUGCUGAAAGGUGGGAGUGCCUUCGGGAGCGCGAACACAGGUGGUGCAUGAAAGUCGUCAGCUCGUGUCGUGAGAUGUUGGGUUAAGUCCCGCAACGAGCGCAACCCUCGUUUUUAGUUGCCAGCAUUGAGUUGGGCACUCUAGAAAGACUGCCGGUGACAAACCGGAGGAAGGUGGGGAUGACGUCAAGUCAGCAUGCCCCUUACGUCUUGGGCUACACACGUACUACAAUGCUACGGACAAAGGGCAGCAAGCUAGCGAUAGCAAGCAAAUCCCAUAAACCGUGGCUCAGUUCAGAUCGAAGCUUGCAACUCAGCUUCGUGAAGGAGGAAUCGCUAGUAAUUGCAGGUCAGCAUUUUGCAGUGAAUUCGUUCCCGGGCCUUGUACACACCCCCCCUCUCNCCCUAGAAGCUGGUCACGCCCGAAGUCAUUACCCCAACC
rnacentral:rRNA from 1 species